CAGUAGCCGCGGUAAUACGGAGGGAGCUAGCGUUGUUCGGAAUUACUGGGCGUAAAGCGCGCGUAGGCGGUUACUCAAGUCAGAGGUGAAAGCCCGGGGCUCAACCCCGGAACUGCCUUUGAAACUAGGUGACUAGAAUCUUGGAGAGGUCAGUGGAAUUCCGAGUGUAGAGGUGAAAUUCGUAGAUAUUCGGAAGAACACCAGUGGCGAAGGCGACUGACUGGACAAGUAUUGACGCUGAGGUGCGAAAGCGUGGGGAGCAAACAGGAUUAGAUACCCCCGUAGUCCCUGUCUCUUAUCA
rnacentral:rRNA from 1 species